rnacentral:rRNA from 1 species
UUGCAGUUGUUCAAGAUGGAAGACGUGAGCAUGGGCAUGUGGGUUCAGAAGUUCGACAAGACUCGCCAGCCGGUGGAGUAUUCCCACGACGUCAAGUUCUUCCAGGCCGGCUGCUUCGACGGCUACUACACCGCGCACUACUAGUCGCCGCAGCACAUGAUCUGCCUCUGGAGGAAGCUGCAGUCCGGGAGAGCUCAAUGCUGCAACGCCAGAUGA